CCUGUUCCCAUUCCGAACACAGAAGUUAAGCUCUCUAGCGCUGAUGGUACUUGGUGGGAAACUGCCUGGGAGAGUAGGACGUAGCCACGUG
rnacentral:rRNA from 1 species